UUCUUUAAUUGAGAAUAUGGGCUGUUCUAU
rnacentral:piRNA from 1 species